rnacentral:rRNA from 1 species
AUUGAACGCUGGCGGCAGGCCUAACACAUGCAAGUCGAGCGAGCGGCGGAGGGGAGAGUAAUGUAUGGGGACUGCCCGAUAGAGGGGGAUAACUACUGGAAACGGUGGCUAAUACCGCAUACUUUAGGCUAACCCUUAUGGGAUUAGCUAGUAGGUGGGGUAAAGGCUCACCUAGGCGACUAUCUCUAGCUGGUCUGAGAGGAUGAUCAGCCACACGGGGAUUGAGACACGUCCCCGACUCCUACGGAGGCAGCAGUGGGGAAUAUUGCACAAUGGGCGCAAGCCUGAUGCAGCCAUGCCGCGUGUGUGAAGAAGGCCUGAGGGUUGUAAAGUACUUUCAGCGGGGAAGCGUUACCCGCAGAAAAAGCCCCGGCUAACUCCGUGCCAGCAGCCGCGGUAAUUC